rnacentral:lncRNA from 1 species
CUCCUGGGACGAGAUGUUGUGACGAGAGCGUCUGUUUGAACUUUGAAAUAAAGCAAUUAAUGGUGAAAUAUAUAGUUUCGUUUUGGUUUCAAAUAUUGCAUCAGACAAGGCCCCUGGUAUAAAAAGGUUGGAACUUUGUGUAAUGUUUAGUAUUGCUUUUAAUUUUUGGUGGGAAAAUGUAGAAUUUUGGACGUUUUCGUACGAAAAUGAUGCAAUAUAGCUAACAGGUCUCGUGUGAAUAUAAAAAUUCGGAGUGUAUGGCGUUCUGAUACGUGGCAUUCGUUGAUAGCUUGAAUAUUUACAGUUUUGAAGGGUGAGUCCAGUUUAUUUGUAUGUUGAUGUGUACAUGUGAAAAUAUAUAGCACAGUUUUAUUUUCUGAGCAUAGAAAUAUUAAUAUCUCUUAUUUUUUGUUUCUGAGUUGUGCUUUUGAAAUGUUUAGUGUAGCUUUGCAUAAGUCCUUUGUGUGGUAGUUUUGCAUAAGUCCUUUGUUGUCAAUGCCAUGCCUGAUUAUGCCUGAUACUAUGGAAACAAGAGUGAUUGCAUCACUCCAGUGGUAUUAGAGAGCGCUGUGUUAAAAAGUGGUUUGGCCAGUGGUCUCGAUAUAUAAAUGGUGUAAUUAUUCAGGGUCUGCACAGGGGCACAGAAUAGAUACAGGACCAGAAGUGUCACUCAGACGAUAUUUUGUCCGAAAUUUUACGAGUGCUGACUUGAAAAUACGCCAUCGUAUGACGCCAUCCUGGAGUGCACACAGAAGUUUUUCAUAGGAAAACAUCGGUACAAAGUGCCGAGUGCACUGCAGGAUGGCGUCAUAGCACGCAAAAAAUUGCGGACAUUUUCCUUCAGCCAAAACACAUAGGAGUGACACUUCUGGUCCGGUAUCUAUUCUGUGACAGGGGGGGGGUGCACACACCACUGCAAGAUUUGUAAGUGGAUCUAAAGGUUGGAUCAGGGUGAGUACAUACCCAGCUCUAAACACAAUAGAUUAAUUAACCACUUCCUAUUAAAAUAUACAUGAUGUCUAAAUUAACAGAACCAACAGGAAAUAGUAAAGGAAUAUGUAGUGUGUCAUUUGGGAACCUCUUGGGAAGUAUCUGUUAAUUAGAGGCCUCACUUGGUCUACUAGGGGUAGUGAUAAACAAUGACCCCUCCCCCCUGUAAGAUAUGAUAAGCCUAGAUGUAUUCAUGUAAUUUCCAUACUACUGAUGGUAAUGUUAGUUUUAUUUAGUUAAAAUUUCAAAUAUCUUCAUAUUUCUAGCAUAACAGCUGAGAAGAUGGCGGAGAAGAGGGACAGUCCUAUCUGUUUUGAUGCAGAUAUCAAUCUGUUUGCUCCUGUGGAAGAAGCGAACAAUGCCUCAAAUGCAUUGACGGAGGGCAACACUUGCACCCUACCAAACACAAAGGUCAAUCUAAGUAGCUCUCACUAAAUAUUGUAUAAUCUUUCAUGUUAUCAGAAAGAUCACUGCAGUCAAUAACUUCAUCUUGACACAAAGAAAAAGCAGUAAAAUUCCCUGCCUUAUUUAAGGUGGCUCGAUAUAGUUAUCACGAAAACCCUGCUCAAGAAUCGCAAACUCAAAACCGGGUGACCAUUUUUACGUGCAGGUCGCGGAAACUGAUUAACAAAAUGACAGAACUUCGAAAAUGACCUGACGUAAGCAGCUGCUCGCGCCAUCUCACGUCAUUUCGCGUGUUCUAUAUAGCG